CCUACGAGCGGCAGCAGUGGGGGAUAUUGCACAAUGGGGGGAACCCUGAUGCAGCGACGCCGCGUGGGUGAAGGAGUGCUUCGGCAUGUAAAGCCCUAUCGGCAGGGAAGAAGCAAGACGGUACCUGACUAAGAAGCCCCGGCUAACUACGUGCCAGCAGCCGCGGUAAUACGUAGGGGGCGUGCGUUAUCCGGAUUCACUGGGUGUAUAGGGGGCGUGGACGGGCAAGCAAGCCAGGGGUGAAAGCCCGGGGUCCAACCCCAGGCCUGACUUUGGAACUGCACGGCUGGAGUGCGGGAGGGGCAGGCGGAAUUGCUGGUGUAGCGGUGAAAUGCGUAGAUAUCAGGAGGAACACCGGCGGCGAAGGCGGCCUGCUGGACCGCGACUGACGUUGAGGCUCGAAAGCGUGGGGAGCGAACAGGAUUAGAUACCCUAGUAGUC
rnacentral:rRNA from 1 species